AAGUCGUAACAAGGUUUCCGUAGGUGAACCUGCGGAAAGGGAUCAUUUACAGAGUUCAUGCCCCUUCGGGGUAGGAUCUCCCACCCUUUGUGUAUCAUUAUAGAAUGUUGCUUUGGCGGGCUGCGUUGCCUAGCAUGCCUCGAUUCGCGUCGAGCGCGCCCGCAGAGGACCCUAAACUCUGAAUGUUAGUGUCGUCUGAGUACUAUUAAAUAGUUAAAA
rnacentral:misc_RNA from 1 species